AUUCCCCAGCCGUCUAAAACAAGCGGUCCUAAGGCUUUUCGCUCUAGAAAUGGGACUUACUUUGCAGACCUCCCUUUAUCUGGGAGACAAAUCCAGCGUGAUUUAGCCUACCGGACCAUCAUAUCCAAUUUCUUCUUCAGCCCCUUCUGAAAGGGAGAUGCUACACACCACUCACCUUUCUGACUUCUGAUUCUCGUUGCCCUCAGAAUUGACACCCCCUUUUCUCUCCCCCCACCCACCACACGCACAUGCACACAGACAUACACACGCGAACUUCAAGACAAUUUUUGCAUCGCUUAACACAUUUUCACCUCUUUCAGAGCUGGAAGACAGCUGUUCCUGGAUCACACCAGAAUGGAGAAGCAAGCUCCUCCCACUAGCAGAAAGCCUUUGCUUUCUGUGCCUGGAUUCGGAAGAUUAGUUAAGCACUGGAAGAGGAGGGGGGAAACAACAACUCGUUUUUGCUUAGAUUUCCACCUGUUCCCAUCCUCCACAGUCUCCCAUCCCACCAGCAACACACGUGAGAUAUCUGAUGCCUUCCCAUCAAUAACUCUCACUUAGUAUGGGUAAGCAAAAAAUUUCCAACCAGGGAUGGAAGUUGUGGAGAGAUAGAGUGGGAAAGCUCAAGGAGCAUUGAUAGGGAUCAUUAAUUAAAAAUCUACCAAACAUCUCUUUCUCUCCCUAAUGUGCGAGUUACAAUAACAUCACUCAAAGCAGUUUGCAGCCACAGCUUGAAGAAAUACAGUAACAAUGACAGAAUUAACAUUCACUAUCUUUAUUAACAUUUUUACUUUCUUAAACCUUGUUUCUUUCAAAAGACACUGGCAUAGUCCUGUAUGAAUUAUGUGGAUUUGCCAAGAGAAAAAAAUAAAAUGAUACAACAAAUGG
rnacentral:antisense_RNA from 1 species